GAUGAACGCUGGCGGCGUGCCUAAUACAUGCAAGUCGAGCGAACAGACGAGGUGCUUGCUCCUCUGACGUUAGCGGCGGACGGGUGAGUAACACGUGGAUAACCUACCUAUAAGACUGGGAUAACUUCGGGAAACCGGAGCUAAUACCGGAUAAUAUAUUGAACCGCAUGGUUCAAUAGUGAAAGACGGUUUUGCUGUCACUUAUAGAUGGAUCCGCGCCGCAUUAGCUAGUUGGUAAGGUAACGGCUUACCAAGGGAACGAUGCGUAGCCGACCUGAGAGGGUGAUCGGCCACACUGGAACUGAGCCACGGUCCAGACUCCUACGGGGGGCAGCAGUAGGGAAUCUUCCGCAAUGGGCGAAAGCCUGACGGAGCAACGCCGCGUGAGUGAGGAAGGUCUUCGGAUCGUAAAACUCUGUUAUUAGGGAAGAACAAAUGUGUAAGUAACUAUGCACGUCUUGACGGUACCUAAUCAGAAAGCCACGGCUAACUACGUG
rnacentral:rRNA from 1 species